AAAGAAAGCGUAAUAGCUCACUGGUCGAGUCGGCCUGCGCGGAAGAGGUAACGGGGCUAAACCAUGCACCGAAGCUGCGGCAGCGACGCUGAUGCGUUGUUGGGUAGGGGAGCGUUCUGUAAGCCUGCGAAGGUGGCCUGUGAGGGUUGCUGGAGGUAUCAGAAGUGCGAAUGCUGACAUAAGUAACGAAAAAGCGGGUGAAAAGCUGCG
rnacentral:rRNA from 1 species